AUACGGAGGGUGCAAGCGUUAUCCGGAAUCAUUGGGUUUAAAGGGUCCGCAGGCGGAUUAAUAAGUCAGUGGUGAAAUCCUCUCGCUCAACGAGAGAACUGCCAUUGAAACUGUUAGUCUUGAAUUCGGUCGAAGUAGGCGGAAUGUGUCAUGUAGCGGUGAAAUGCAUAGAUAUGACACAGAACACCGAUAGCGAAGGCAGCUUACUAGACCUGGAUUGACGCUCAUGGACGAAAGUGUGGAGAGCGAACAGGAUUAGAUACCCCAGUAGUCC
rnacentral:rRNA from 1 species